rnacentral:rRNA from 1 species
CCUACGGGAGGCAGCAGUGGGGAAUAUUGGGCAAUGGGCGCAAGCCUGACCCAGCAACGCCGCGUGAAGGAAGAAGGCCCUCGGGUUGUAAACUUCUUUUGUCAGGGACGAAACAAAUGACGGUACCUGCCGAAUAAGCCACGGCUAACUACGUGCCAGCAGCCGCGGUAAUACGUAGGUGACAAGCGUUAUCCGGAUUUACUGGGUGUAAAGGGCGUGUAGGCGGGAGAGCAAGUCAGAUGUGAAAUUCCAGGGCUCAACCCUGGAACUGCAUUUGAAACUGUUUUUCUUGAGUGAUGGAGAGGCAGGCGGAAUUCCGGGUGUAGCGGUGAAAUGCGUAGAUAUACGGAGGAACACCAGUGGCGAAGGCGGCCGGCUGGACAGUAACUGACGCUGAGGCGCGAAAGCGUGGGGAGCAAACAGGAUUAGAUACCCCGGUAGUC